rnacentral:rRNA from 1 species
ACGAACGCUGGCGGCGUGCUUAACACAUGCAAGUCGAACGGAAAGGCCCCUUUGGGGGUACUCGAGUGGCGAACGGGUGAGUAACACGUGAGUAACCUGCCCUUGACUUCGGGAUAACUUCAGGAAACUGGGGCUAAUACCGGAUAGGAAUCCUUGCUGCAUGGUGGGGGUUGGAAAGCUUCGGCGGUUUUGGAUGGACUCGCGGCUUAUCAGCUUGUUGGUGGGGUAGUGGCUUACCAAGGCUUUGACGGGUAGCCGGCCUGAGAGGGCGACCGGCCACAUUGGGACUGAGAUACGGCCCAGACUCCUACGGGAGGCAGCAGUGGGGAAUAUUGCACAAUGGGCGGAAGCCUGAUGCAGCAACGCCGCGUGCGGGAUGACGGCCUUCGGGUUGUAAACCGCUUUCAGCAGGGGCGAAGCUUGUGGUGACGGUACCUGCAGAAGAAGCACCGGCUAACUAUGUG